AAAAAAAAAAAAAAAAAAAAAAAAAAAAAACCGACCGUUCCUAACACAAAUGGCAAAGAAUUUGUUGGUUGGUACUCGAGAUUUCAAAUUCAAAUCAUAGUUGAUUCAUAUUUUCAGUUAAAUUUAUAUAUAUAAAAAAUAAACGAUGCGAGCAGCAUUAUACGCUGUUGAAAUUCGACGGUCUCGUUCCUUAGUCCAGUAUCGAUUGCUUGGAUGGUUUCCAGAACAAAAAUAGGCUUUGAACAAGCUUGAAAAAGAGUUUAAAAGUUUUCAAAAUAGACCAUCUGUCUGUAACGCAAGUGACAAAGGAUUUGAUAGUUGAUACUCGAGAUCCUAAGAUCGAAUUCUAAUUGAUUCACAUUUUCAGCUAAGUUUAUUUCUAAAAAAAAUAAACGAAGCGGUAGUAUGUUACUUUUAUCUCAAAAACAAAAAAAAAGUUUUCAAAAUGGUUAGGGUG
rnacentral:lncRNA from 1 species